UGUUCAAAGAGCAAGUGUUCUAUCUGUAUAGGACCCUGUACGACAACAAUAAGCAAAGCCCCUUUUAGAAUCCAUGAUGGAUGAGUAGCCAGAGUGAAAAAUAAGCAUUCAUUGUCUUAAAACACUGACAUUUUGUAGGAGGCACUUGUCACUACGUGUGGUAGGCAGAGUUUCCAAAUGGGCUCAGAAGUAAAAUUUGUGAAGUUGCUUCUCCAUACCAGACACAUGUCACACAUGUUAACUCACUUGAUCCUCACUCUAAUCUCCUCCCUGUAAAUGACCAAACUAAGUAUAAGUGACCUGCUCAACUUACUAAUUACAACCACAGGCGAAAGAAAGUCUACCCACUUUCCACUUCGUCACACCGCUUCCUGAUAACUGUUCUUUGUGGUCACAACCAUUAUCACAAUCAGCAUAUGUAAUUCAGACAGAAGUAGCUACUUCUUCCUAGUUUGUCAAUAUUAGGAAUAUGGAUUGUUGAAUAAGCAAAAAAUAAAAAAUAACCAGACCUUAAAUACUUACCUUCUUUAGAGGAAGGAUGGGAUCUCAUCUUUUGCUUCUUGUUAACUUCCCUGUAAUGUUGGGAAACAUGUUUCAUAAAUUCUAUUAGGAAGUUGUGGCAGACACUAUUCACUGGUUCAUGACCCCAACUGUGACUUUAAAUCCUCUGAGUCUCUUUUGUCAGUGGAAAAAGAUGACUUUCCUAUGUCGAGGGAGAGUAGCUUUCCUUUGCUUAAAAACAAUGUAAUAACCUCACCUAGGUUAGUUUGCCAAGGCAGGAUGUCCAUCAUCCCUACAAUCCUUUAUUGCCACUAGACCCAUAACUACAGUUAGAUAUCUGCAAAUAUAUUACCUUACAUUUCAAAAUAAAUUUUGCAGAUGUGAUUAAGUUAAAGAUACUGAGAUUUGGAGAUUAUCCUGGAUUAACUAACUGGGCUCAAACUGAGCAUUUCACAGCCCAUUCCAUCACCAGGGACACCUGAACACUUCUACAAGUUAACAGAAGUCAGACAUAUAUCCUACUGCUUCCAUCACAGCUGGCUCUUACCUGCAAGUGUCAUCUACUGAUCUGUAGGUCCACCUGCACAGUCUGUUAAAACAUCUGCUGGCACAGUAUGCAGUGCUUAGGAAAAAGAUAAGCUUCUUGUGGCCUCUGCUACCACCACCACCCAGGCCACCCUAGCUAGUCAGGAGGUCAUGAGCUGUCUUACUUCCUUGGUACACCAUACUAUAACCAGCACUUGAGAAAGCCACCACACUAAAGGUAUAUAGAACCAAGAAAUCAUACAGGAUUUUUGUCACUGAAUGCACCAAGAAGCAAAGCCAAAUGGCCCUACUCAAAAUACAUCACAGUCCCAUCCUCAAGAAAAAAAGGUCCUUCCCCAAUGAAAGUAAAUUUAAAAUAAGAAGCAGCAACAGUUUUUCCAGAUGCACAGAAAUCUAAAUAAAGAUACACAAAGCAUGGCAUGGUAUUAUGACAGCCACAAAGGAAUAAAGUAAUUCUCUAGCAAUGAAUCCUAACCAAAAAGAAAUCCUCAAAAUGCCAUAUAAGGAAUUCAGAAUAUUGAUUUUAAGGCAGGGUGUAGUGGCUCACACCUGUAAUCCUAGUAUUUAGGGAAGCCAAGGCAGGAGGAUUGCUUGAGGCCAUAAGUUCAAGGCCAGGCACAGUAAUAGAGAGACCCUGUCUUUACAAAAAAAAAAAAAAAUUAAUUAGCCAGUCAUGAUGGUGCAUGCCUGUAGGCCUAGCUCCUCAGGAGGCUGAAGUGGGAAUAUUGCUUGAGCCCAGGUGUUUGAGAUUGCAGUGAGCUAUAAUCAUGCCAAUGCACUCUAGCCUUGGUAAUAGAGUGAGACUCUGUCUCUAAAAACCAAUACAGAGAAAUUUUUUUAAAAAAUGAAUUCAGAAUAUGAAUGAAAAAUUUGCAAAGGAGAUAGAUAUCUUUCCGUGUAAAGACAGAACAUAUAAAAAUGAAAAAUUAAUUGAAGGAAUUACAAAAUAUAUUGAAAGCUUCAACAAAAGACUAGACCAAGCAAAAGAAAAAAAUCUUAUAACUUGAAAAUAGGUCAUUUGAGUUAACCCUGUCAGAUAAAAAUAAAGAAAAUAUAAUUUUAAAAGAAUAAGGCUUUCAAGAUAUAUAGGAAUACAUAAAGGGACCAACUUUAGUAAUCUAAACAUUAUUCCUGAGGAGGAGGAAAAAGAA
rnacentral:lncRNA from 1 species